rnacentral:sRNA from 1 species
GGGUUAAAAGGUCCAAAACCACAUGAGCUCGUUUAUAGGUUGGUUUAGACCUUGGACCCCUACGAUAUGAACAUGAAAGUGGGAUGAUAAUCCCACGAUAUGCGAAUAUUGGGGGAAAAUUGUGGAAGUGCGUAGCACGGAACAAUUAGUAGGUAUC